rnacentral:rRNA from 1 species
UACGUAGGGGGCGAGCGUUGUCCGGAUUUACUGGGCGUAAAGGGCUUGUAGGCGGUCCGUUAAGUCCGAUGUGAAAUCUCCCGGCUCAACUGGGAGAGGUCAUUGGAUACUGGCGGACUAGAGGGGGGUAGAGGAAAGCAGAAUUCCUGGUGUAGCGGUGAAAUGCGUAGAUAUCAGGAGGAAUACCAGUGGCGAAGGCGGCUUUCUGGGCCUACCCUGACGCUGAGGAGCGAAAGCGUGGGGAGCGAACAGG